UGAUACCUAGGCUCUUAUUUUAGGCAUGGU
rnacentral:piRNA from 1 species